UAGAGGUGCUGGUGCUGCUGGAGGCUGGUGGCGGUGUCUUGGCUCACGGACGGCGGCUCCAAGCAGCGGCAGCGGUGCUAC
rnacentral:pre_miRNA from 1 species